GAUGAACGCUGGCGGCGUGCCUAAUACAUGCAAGUCGAGCGAAUGGAUUAAGAGCUUGCUCUUAUGAAGUUAGCGGCGGACGGGUGAGUAACACGUGGGUAACCUGCCCAUAAGACUGGGAGAACUCCGGGAAACCGGGGGUAAUACCGGAUAACAUUUUGAACCGCAUGGUUCGAAAUUGAAAGGCGGCUUAGGCCGUCACGUAUGGAUGGACCCGCGUCGCAUUAGCUAGGUGGUGAGGUAACGGCUCACCAAGGCAACGAUGCGUAGCCGACCUGAGAGGGUGAUCGGCCACACUGGGACUGAGACACGGCCCAGACUCCUACGGGAGGCAGCAGUAGGGAAUCUUCCGCAAUGGACGAAAGUCUGACGGAGCAACGCCGCGUGAGUGAUGAAGGCUUUCGGGUCGUAAAACUCUGUUGUUAGGGAAGAACAAGUGCUAGUUGAAUAAGCUGGCACCUUGACGGUACCUAACCAGAAAGCCACGGCUAACUACGUGCCAGCCGCCGCAGUAA
rnacentral:rRNA from 1 species